GCCUGGGUGGCUCAGUUGGUUGAGCAUCCAACUUCAGCUCAGGUCAUGAUCUCACACUCCGUGAGUUCGAGCCUCGCAUCAGGCU
rnacentral:tRNA from 1 species